rnacentral:rRNA from 1 species
UACGUAGGUGGCAAGCGUUGUCCGGAUUUACUGGGCGUAAAGGGCGUGCAGGCGGUUUGUUAAGUCUAGGGUGAAAGCUCCCGGCUCAACUGGGAGAGGUCCUUGGAUACUGGUGAACUUGAGGGAUGCAGAGGAAAGUGGAAUUCCCGGUGUAGUGGUGAUAUGCGUAGAUAUCGGGAGGAACACCAGUGGCGAAGGCGGCUUUCUGGGCAUUUCCUGACGCUGAGACGCGAAAGCGUGGGGAGCGAACCGG